rnacentral:rRNA from 1 species
GAGGGAUCAUUACCGAGUUUACAACUCCCAAACCCCUGUGAACAUACCACUUGUUGCCUCGGCGGAUCAGCCCGCUCCCGGUAAAACGGGACGGCCCGCCAGAGGACCCCUAAACUCUGUUUCUAUAUGUAACUUCUGAGUAAAACCAUAAAUAAAUCAAAACUUUCAACAACGGAUCUCUUGGUUCUGGCAUCGAUGAAGAACGCAGCAAAAUGCGAUAAGUAAUGUGAAUUGCAGAAUUCAGUGAAUCAUCGAAUCUUUGAACGCACAUUGCGCCCGCCAGUAUUCUGGCGGGCAUGCCUGUUCGAGCGUCAUUUCAACCCUCAAGCACAGCUUGGUGUUGGGACUCGCGUUAAUUCGCGUUCCUCAAAUUGAUUGGCGGUCACGUCGAGCUUCCAUAGCGUAGUAGUAAAACCCUCGUUACUGGUAAUCGUCGCGGCCACGCCGUUAAACCCCAACUUCUGAAUGUUGACCUCGGAUCAGGUAGGAAUACCCGCUGAACUUAAGCAU